rnacentral:tRNA from 1 species
GGGGAUGUAGCUCAGUGGUGGAGCACUUGUCUGGCAUCAUGCAAGGUCCUAGCUUUCAUUCCCA